AAUGAGACUGCAGGCACAGGUGCGGCCGGAUUCCCUGUCGCUGUCCCGCGCUGAGUGAAUUUUGCCUCGGAGCUGGUCCGAGGUCGCGCCUGCUCUUUUGUGUGCCCAAGGCAGAUUUCCAGGUUUCGGUUACAAGUAGAAAUCUGUCUUCUAACUCUAAGGCCUUGGGAGAUGAAGGAUCCGUGAUUCAAAGGCAGAAAUGUAAGUGAUGAAAAAGAAUGCUGUCCUGUAAUAAGGCAAAAAAGAAACGAGGAACAGCAUCCUUAGUCCUUGAUGUUAGAACAGUCUUUUUACAUAUUGCUGAAUAUAAAACAUCAAAGUUCAUGGAAGAGCCAUAGGAUUCAGAGCUCAAAGAGGCCACAGAGAUUAUAUAGUACAGGGAUUAAGCAUGAGACUUUGCCUGGAUGCAAAGUCAAACAUCUCAACUUUCUAGUU
rnacentral:lncRNA from 1 species